rnacentral:misc_RNA from 1 species
GAUGAAGAACGCAGCGAAAUGCGAUAAGUAAUGUGAAUUGCAGAAUUCAGCGAAUCAUCGAAUCUUUGAACGCACAUUGCGCCCCCCGGCAUUCCGGGGGGCAUGCCUGUCCGAGCGUCAUUGCACCCCUCGAGCCCGCGCGGGUUUCGGUGUUGGGCCGCCGUCCCCCGGGGGGGGGGACGGGCCCGAAAGGCAGUGGCGGCCCCGGGGCGACUUCCCGCGCGAUCGCAGCACCUCGCGGCCGAAGCGUUCGCCCCGCGGGCCCGCCUGGACCACCAGUGUGACGUACCGGUUGACCUCGGAUCAGGCAGGGAUACCCGCUGAACUUAAGCAUAUCAAUAAGCGGAGGA